GGUUGUACCACCUUACUUUCUGUGGAAGUUAAUGAUAUGAUACCUUCCUUGAAAUGCUACACACUUUCAAAGGAAUAUGAAACCCUUGGUGUUCAUAAUCUACCAGAAGAUACCGCCAGGAAUGCAUGGAGUUUGUGAAGAUACUCUUGGGUGCUGUCAACUAAGUUACUUGGUAAGGAGUGAAGCCAAUGUUGGUUGUACCUGUGACCCAUUGAUUUGGCACUUUAGGUUAAGGCACAUGAAGUCUUGGUGUGACUAAUAAUAGGUUAAAACACUCGUGUGGUAAACUCAGUGAGCUGCUUGGUUGCUUGGCAAGUUCUGUGUUGCAUGGAGGACAGAGCAACAAAUGGGUUCUCUGCUUAGAUUUGGAUUCAAGAUCCAUUCCUUAGGCUGACGGUCUCUGUCUGAUGGACUUCAGAGUCUUCUGGGGAGUUUGAAGAUUGGAAAUCUGCAUUCUACUAUGUAUCUCCGUGACCUAUGUUUGAGCUAGUAGUCCGGCUCAUUCUUGGGCCUUACGUAAAUGUGUGCAACUUCAAGUUUUAAUUCUGGCAGAGGAGACGUCAGAUUUGAGUCUUUUACCCUUUUGAGUUUUAGUUGAACUCUCUUGUUCUUAUCUGCAAAAUAAGGAUGAUGAUGUUGGCUGAAGUACAUUCUUCAGAGGGUGCUUGUUGGGAUCUGAGCUGAUGGACAAGAAAAGCAGCAGCAGUAUUAGAAAGUUCUGUACGGACAAGAGGUAUUUAUUUAUGGUCUGGAUACUUGAGAUUCAGACUGAAAUUGUAGAUUAGAAAAAGUUUAGAACAGGGUUUUUGUAUCUUGUAAAUUCAAGAAGGGGGUUCCUUAAGAUAAACUUUGGGUAUUUUCUAAAAUGAGUAACAAGUUCUUUUAAUGUUUCUUUUUCAGCUUGGUGGUAUUGACAAGUCCAGCUCUUUUCUGUCUUCAAACUAUGAUUUUUCAUCCUGUUUUUCCCUAAGUGGAAUUGAGGUCUAAACACACAUUUCACCAUUUUCUUUUAAAUGAAGAUUUAGUGACUCAGGUUUAUUGGUUUCAAAAAACAAUCAUAUUUUCCUCAAGGAUUACUUUCUAGGAUGUAAUAUAGUUGUAAAAAGGAAGUUUUCUUUUGCUUUAACCAAGGCAAUUUUCUACUAAAAUUUUUCUUUAAGGAUUGUUCUAUAAGAUGUAUGAAGAGCUCAUUUUCAAAUGAAACCCAGGCCUUAAACCUGAUCAGCCUGGUCAGAUUAGCUUGCUGUCAUGUGGUUGACCCAAAUCUGACUGUCACCAGCAGAGAGUAGAAGUAAUUGCUUUGAACCAUGAUGAACUUUAGCCUGUGGUCAGUGUCCAUGAAUCACCAUUUUUCUGACCUAGCACUCUUGCUGUCAGUAAUAUGUUAUGUUAUACUUUGAAUUCACUCAUUUAAUUAAUUUUAAAAUUGGAUGAGUUCAUGUUCACUUUCUGUAUCUUCAUGACAUUUGCUGCUUUUUACUCAGUUUUUGAAAGUAUGAAAGUACCAUGUAACUUGAGUGUGCAAGCCCAAGGGCGAAUUCCGUACUUGUACACUGAACUUGACUGUAGUUAGAACCAUUAACCUAGAUGACUUCAGCUGAAUUGUUAUGUAGCUUUAACUUAUGAGGGUUCCUCUGCUUCCUCUUUGGCUUACUCUGAUUUGCAAAGUAUUGUUACCUUACUUCUUGGAGUUGGGGCUGUAGUCAAGUAGCUUCAUGAAUUUGGUUAUCUAAGUGAGCAGGUCUAGCUUUAGAGUCAAAUUUCUAGGUUUCUUAAUCUAGAACUUUAAAUCUUUGUUUUAUUUUCAUAAAAUUUAAAUAGGCCUCAUGUCUUUUGCAUUGGAGGCUCCUUGGUGCUGAAUGUGUAGUGGAGAUGCCUUCCUGGGCACGUUUCUGAGGUUGGAAGAGGCAGUUCUUAGUGCAGUGACCAAUCAAAAGCAAAUCAGGCUGACCACCAAAGCCUAAAACUUUGUAAAUGGCCUCAAGAGAUAGAUUUAGAAUUGUAAAAUAUCUAUUUUAGCAGUUUGGAAAUCUAUACCUUGACUGACUUUUAAAAAAUUUUUCUGAACUGGUGGGGGAUGUAGCUCACUGUUAGAGAGCUUGCCUAGCAUGUCCAAUCCUGGGUUUGAUUUCCAGCACUGAAAGUGCGGGGGGGGGGGGGAAUAUUCUCCCUUUACUUUUUCUGGCUUAGUUUAAAUGUUUUUGUGCAGUUUGCAGGUACUGUUGAUAAGAUUGGUUGGCUGGGCACAGGUAUGAGCAGAGGAGGAAGAGUAAUUUGUCCCAUCGACUACUGAUGUCUUUAGAUCAGCUUUCAGUUCUGGUAUAAGAAUGAGAUGUGGGAAAUUUUUGAUAGGUGAGAUUCAGUCCUUCAGGGUAACUCUUAAAAGCUGGCUUUAUGACUCUCACUAGUUUCUGGUAGGUAGAUAUGCUAUUUUAAAACUUAACCUUAUGGAUGAUUCACAAAUUGAAAUAUAGAGUAUUGAAAUUAAGUUUAAGGUCACACAUACAAGUAGGCGGACUACAUAUAAAUAGGGUCUAUGGCUCGAGCCCCCCUUUGACCUUUACCAAAAUAAAUGAAGAUGACAGUGUUGUGGGAAAGCCAGAAAUUGAGGCCAGUGUCUUCCUUAGACUCUGCCUCCUGGAUCUGCAGAUGAUGACUUUUCAUUAGCUCAUGGAGGUGAGCUUUUGUUUGGUUUAUAAAGUUUAAAUGUAUAAAAGCCAAGAGGAGGCUGGAACAAGAAAGAGUGGGAGAAUGAACACUUUCUAGCAGAUAUUAUCUUUAGAGGCUAAUUUUUGUCAGAUGAAGGACAUCCUCCCCCACACUCCCAUACUGGGGAUUGAACUCAGGGGUGCUUUAUCACUGAGAUAUACCCCCAACCCUUUUUAUUUUAUUUUUAUUUUAAGGCAGGGUCUUUCUAAGUUACCAAGGUUGGCCUUGAACUUGGGAUACUCAUGCCUCAACCUCCCGAGUAGCUGGGAUUACAGAUGUGUGCCACCAAACCUAGCGGACAUUUUUGAUUCAAAGAAAAGCACAAUGUUUCUUAGCAUCUGUUGCAUAUGUCUUACAUGUGGAAUUUUUGGAAAAGUUUUAAUGGUGAAACCAUAAGUGUAUAAUUUCUGUAUUUUAAUUAAAGUACUUAGGUUUUAACUCUGUAGGAAGAAGCUUUGACAGGAGAAAUAGCAAAUAGAAAUAACAUGCCUUUGGCCAUUUCCCAUAGGUUACAAGCUUCAGGGAGAGCCCUCUAGUAAGAUCUGUCCCCAAAUCAUCAUUUAGUGCAAGAAUCUAAAUGAGUUUUACCAAAGGCCUGUCAUGAUUUAUCCCAUCUAAACUUGAAUGAUUUUCAAAUUUCUUUCUAUUUGUGCUUGCUUCUCUAUUGUUUGUUUCUCAUAUGGGAUCCGUUUACACAUUCAGAAGUAGGUCUGGUGAUUUUAAGAUCCAACAUAACCUCAAGGCUGUCUAGCAUUUUAGGAUUUUCUAACCUGAUAGUCUCUUUUUUUGUAUUUUAUGUUUUUCUACAAAGUAAUGUAGAGUUAGACAUAUAAAAUUAUACAUGAUUGCUGUUUUUACUUUGAAGUUUUAAAUCUUGCCUAGGAGAAUGGAAUAAGCUUAUGUGCUUUUUUAAAAAAAUUUAAAAAAAUUUUUUAAUAAUUUUCUUUUUUGACAAAGGUCUUUCUGAUUGCUUAGGCUGGCCUUGAGAUUGUGAUCGUCCUGCCUCAGCCUACAGGCAUGUGCCUCCAUGCCAGCUGGCAAGCCGUGUGUUUUUGCAGGUAGUUACAGGCUCACUCAAUUUGCCCCUCCCCUUUUAUCAGUUCUAAAACCUGAUUUGAAAUUUAAUGUGGAAUGAAAUAAACAUUAGGACUAAAAGUCCUAAGGAUUUGUGGCUGACUUAAUAUUCCCAAGCUUUAAGAAGCACUUUUUUUUUUUUUAAUUAAAGCAACUACUGGGUCUCAUUGCUUUUUUCUCGAAUAUUUGGGAUACCCAAACCUGAAGUUUUCUUUCUUUUUUUUUCUUUCCUUCUUUUUUUUUUUUUUUUUAAAUUCAGACACGGCCCAAGAAGCUGUCUUUGUACUCCCUGGUUUUAGCAGUCCUCCCUCCCAUCUCAGCCUCUAGAGUAGCUGGGACUACAGGCCAGCCACUGUCACCAGCUCAGAGUUCUCUUUGGUAGUGUGGUAGGAAGAGCAUUGUUUUAAUUUUUUUGAUACUGGGGAUUGAACCCAGAGGCACUUUACCACUGAGCUACAUCCCCAGCCCUUUUUAUUUUUAAUUUUGAGUUAGGGUGUUUAACUAAGUUGCUUGGGGCCAUGUAUAGUUGCUGAGGCUUGCCUUGAAUUUGAGAUUCUCCUGCCUCAGCCUCCCAAGUCACUGGGAUUACAAGCAGGAGUCACUGUACCCAGUUAAGAGCAUUGUUUUAAAGGUCACAUGAGCAGAGUUGACCUCAUUUUUACUGCCAGCUAAUGGUCUGAUCUUGAUAGUAAUCUUCAGGGUCCCCUGUAGUUCUAACAGUCAAAGACUACCUUUAAAAAAAAAAAAAAGCCUUUCUGGCUGUCAGAUUACAUCUUAAAAUUUUUGACAGAUUACAUAGAACUGAAGGACUCAAGUUGGGCACCUUAAAAUUCGCAAAGCCUGAGAGGACAGCAUGGUGGUGUUGCCAAGUGGUAGUCCAAGGUGGCGCUCGCUGGAGGGGAGUUAGCUGUGUUAAUAGUGGCUUCCUUCCCUCAGUAUUUCCUUAGCAUUAGCAAGUGAUGCCUGAAUCUCAAGUAGGACUUUUAAACUUUAUUCUACAAUUAUUUUUGUGCAGAGGUUUAUCUAGGAGCUUUUUCUUCUAAAUGCCCUCCCUUCUGUUUAUUUUUCUGUUGAGUUAUUGAUGAUUAUAUUUUUGCUCUUUAGGUGGAGUUUUCUAUCUUUUUUUUUUUCCAUGUUUCCUCUCAGGGAGGGGAAAGUACAUUAAUUGUGACAGAACCUAGCAUAUUUUUGCCAUUAAAAAUAUUGGCAAAGAUAGUUUAUAGUGAAAAAAUAGGUACCAUUUGAUUAGUAAUUGUGUGUCCUUGGAAUAAUGUAGAAACUGCUGUAGAAUUGAUGAGAGUGAGCCAACAUGUAAGAAAUGAAUUCACUGAGCCAAAAAACAAUGGAAAAAAGUUAACUGAUCAACCACCUUUUUUUUUUUUUUUUUUUUAUCCUUAAGUUCAUUAACACCUAGUAAAAGGACCUCUGCACUUUUGACAUUUGACCACUUUACCUUUAAUGUUUUACAAUGUGGCAGAAUCCUUUUGUUUCUCUUCUUCCCCCUCUCUCUUUUUCCAAAUGUGGUACUGGGAUUUAACCCAGGACUCUAUUCCUCAGCUACAGCCCCAGCCCUUUUUUACUUUUAUUUUCAGUCAGGAUCUCAUGAAGUUGUCAAGGCUGGCCUUGAGUUUGUAACCCUUCUGCUUCAGCCCCCCAAGUCACUGGGAUCGCAGGCUUAUGCCACCAACUUUCUUUGUCUCCAUUAUUGAUGAAUGGGAGCAGAAAUUAUUUUGGUAUGUUGGUGUUCUCUGUUUAGGUCCAGGGAGAAUGUUUUGUCUGGUGAUUGAUUGGCAUUUUGGUAACAUUCAGUUUCUCAUUAAGUAUGGUUUUCCUGGUUUCAAUGAGUGAUCUUUUAAGAUCUGGAUCCAUGUCCCUGUUUGAAAUCUCUAUUAAGAGAUUUGACUUUCACCAACAUGCCCUGCUGUUGUGCCAUGGACCAAGGUUGUGCAGAAGUUACAUCAGGUACAGGCUUGCUCUGAAGCCUGGAUUUGUGAGUCUCCCUUCUCAAACAUAAUGUUCUUGUUGCCUUCCUCUUUUCAUAUAAGUGGAGCUCAUGCAGAGGGUGUUAGAGAGCCAAUGUGCCUUUUGCUGUCCCACCUGGGGGAGCCAGUUGGCCUUUAGGUUUGGGUGAAUCCUGCUUUAUAUCAUAGGGCUCCCUGGCAUUUUCCAUGGUUCUUAUUGGGUGGUACCUGUACUUGUCCUAUGGAUUGUUUUGUAUUUUGUCCUGGCUAUUUGUACUGUCUCCUGUCACUCUUUGCUGUAAGUUCAACUUCAUUAAUAAAAAGAAUAUCUCAUGUUGGAUGAAAAA
rnacentral:lncRNA from 1 species